rfam:Physcomitrella patens subsp. patens PHYPAscaffold_26 genomic scaffold, whole genome shotgun sequence.
AAAAAGGUGUUUUUAAACACCAUAGUGAGGUCAAAAUUACAAAAAU